rnacentral:rRNA from 1 species
AUUGAACGCUGGCGGCAUGCCUAACACAUGCAAGUCGAGCGCGCGGCGGACGGGUGAGUAAUGUCUGGGAAACUGCCUGAUGGAGGGGGAUAACUACUUGAAACGUUAGCUAAUACCGCAUACCAUCAGAUGUGCCCAGAUGGGAUUAGCUAGUAGGUGGGGUAAUGGCUCACCUAGGCGACGAUCCCUAGCUGGUCUGAGAGGAUGACCAGCCACACGGGAACUGAGACACGGUCCAGACUCCUACGGGAGGCAGCAGUGGGGAAUAUUGCACGAUGGGCGCAAGCCUGAUGCAGCCAUGCCGCGUGUGUGAAGAAGGCCUUCGGGUUGUAAAGCACUUUCAGCGGGGAGGCGGUACCCGCAGAAGAAGCACCGGCUAACUCCGUGCCAGCAGCCGCGGUAAUUC